ACUGGGGCAGAUGGGAAACUCAAGAUUAAUGCAGUGAUAGACGGUGGGUGGGAAAGAAAAGUAAAGAGAUGCGAGCAGGUUCCAGAGGCCAGGGGCUGCUCACUGGAAGCAUCUGGGGGAGACUGAAAGAAAUACUGAUGGCACAGACACUACUCCAGAAAGACAUGUCUCUGUUUUCCUUCUGUAAAAUAGGCUUCAACAAAAAUGAUGAGAAGAAAUUGUUGAGGGAGCCCAAAGAAACACAUGUGGAGGGUAUUUUCAGGCAGAUACAUUUGGUUGAGAAAGAGGAAAUAUAUGGUACCUAACAGCAUGGGUUCUGAAGCCAGAUUGCCAGUCUGGAGACUGUACUGCUGGCUACUCUCCUGCACACCGUGUGCACUUACUUCCCAGCCCCUCCAGCAGAGCCAUCUUGGCACUGUAAAGGGAGCUGGAAGAAAGAUGGAAACAAUGAUGACACUGUCAAGUUGAAGAAUUAACCAACCCUGAAGCGCCUACCUCUGGACUUGUUAUACAAAACAGUGAAUUUUUCUUAUUGCUUAAGCUAUUUUGAGUAGGAUUUUCUGUUAUUGUACUUGAAAACACCCCACUGAUUGAUAUUUCUGGAGCAUGUAUGUUCAGGAUAU
rnacentral:lncRNA from 1 species